UGCAGUCGAACGAUCUCUUCGGAGAUAGUGGCGGACGGGUUAGUAACGCGUGGGAAUAUGCCCCUGGGUAAGGAACAACAGCUGGAAACGGCUGCUAAUACCUUAUGAUGUCUACGGACCAAAGAUUUAUCGCCCAGGGAUUAGCCCGCGUUGGAUUAGGUAGUUGGAGGGGUAACGGCCCACCAAGCCUACGAUCCAUAGCUGGUUUGAGAGGAUGAUCAGCAACACUGGGACUGAGACACGGCCCAGACUCCUACGGGAGGCAGCAGUGGGGAAUCUUAGACAAUGGGGGAAACCCUGAUCUAGCCAUGCCGCGUGAUCGAUGACGGCCUUAGGGUUGUAAAGAUCUUUCGCCGGGGACGAUAAUGACGGUACCCGGAGAAGAAGUCCCGGCUAACUUCGUGCCAGCAGCCGCGGUAAUACGAAGGGGACUAGCGUUGUUCGGAAUUACUGGGCGUAAAGCGCGUGUAGGCUGAUUGGUCAGUCAGGGGUGAAAUCCCGGGGCUCAACCCCGGAACUGCCUUUGAUACUGCCAGUCUUGAGACCGGUAGAGGUGAGUGGAAUUCCGAGUGUAGAGGUGAAAUUCGUAGAUAUUCGGAGGAACACCAGUGGCGAAGGCGGCUCACUGGACCGGUACUGACGCUGAGACGCGAAAGUGU
rnacentral:rRNA from 1 species